rnacentral:lncRNA from 1 species
GUGUUGCGCACUUGCGCGGGCCGAGGCGUCGAGCGCUCGGCCGCGCUGGCGCUCCCACGUAGCCGCUGCGGCAACCCGCCACGUGACGUAGUGUUGCGCAGUUGCGCGGGCCGAGGCGUCGAGCGCACGACCGCGCUGGCGCUCCCACGUAGCCGCAGUGGCAAACCGCUACGUGAGGUAGUGUUGCGCAGUUGCGCGGGCCGAGGCAUCGAGCGCACGACCGCGCUGGCGCUCCCACGUAGCCGCUGCGGCAACCCGCCACGUGACGUAGUGUUGCGCAGUUGCGCGGGCCGAGGCGUCGAGCGCACGACCGCGCUGGCGCUCCCACGUAGCCGCUGCGGCAAACCGCUACGUGAGGUAGUGUUGCGCAGUUGCGCGGGCCGAGGCAUCGAGCGCACGACCGCGCUGGCGCUCCCACGUAGCCGCUGCGGCAACCCGCCACGUGACGUAGUGUUGCGCAGUUGCGCGGGCCGAGGCGUCGAGCGCACGACCGCGCUGGCGCUCCCACGUAGCCGCUGCGGCAACCCGCCACGUGACGUAGUGUUGCGCAGUUGCGCGGGCCGAGGCAUCGAGCGCACGACCGCGCUGGCGCUCCCACGUAGCCGCUGCGGCAACCCGCCACGUGACGUAGUGUUGCGCAGCUGCGCUGACCGAGGCGUCGAGCGCUCGGCCGCGCUGGCGCUCUCACGUAGCCGCUGUGA